UACGAAGGGGGCUAGCGUUGUUCGGAUUUACUGGGCGUAAAGCGCACGUAGGCGGCUCGUUAAGUCGGGGGGGAAAUCCUGGAGCUCAACUCCAGAACUGCCUUCGAUACUGGCGAUCUUGGGUCCGGAAGAGGUGAGUGGAACUCCUAGUGUAGAGGUGGAAUUCGUAGAUAUUAGGAAGAACACCAGUGGCGAAGGCGGCUCACUGGUCCGGUACUGACGCUGAGGUGCGAAAGCGUGGGGAGCAAACAGG
rnacentral:rRNA from 1 species